rnacentral:rRNA from 1 species
CCCUUAGAUGUUCUGGGCCGCACGCGCGCUACACUGACGAAUGCAACGAGCUUACAACCUUGGCCGAAAGGUCUGGGUAAUCUCCAAAUUUCGUCGUGAUGGGGAUAGAUUAUUGCAAUUAUUAAUCUUCAACGAGGAAUGCCUAGUAAGCGCAAGUCAUCAGCUUGCGUUGAUUACGUCCCUGCCCUUUGUACACACCGCCCGUCGCUCCUACCGAUUGAAUGGUCCGGUGAAGCGUUCGGACCGUGGCCUUUGGACGGUUCGCCGUCUGUUGGCUGCGGGAAGUUCGUUAAACCUUAUCAUUUAGAGGAAGGAGAAGUCGUAACA